GGUCACGCAGGUAUUAGACCUAUUUGCCAUGUCUUGUUGAUAUAAGACGAGGAAGCCCCCUUCUGCCCGAGCCAGGCUCCUCAGCAUGUUACAAUACCGAUUCUGUAACCAAGUAGUUUGGAAUGUCCUGUAGACCAUCAGCAGGGCACAAUUGAAGAACUGGAUUCCUUCACAACUAAUUUGAAUGACAAUGACCUUAAUAUCCAUCUGACAUAUAAAUUUGGUCGAGACAAUAUGGACUUCUUAGAUGUACUUCUACAAGUGGACCAGGACGGGUAUAUUUACAACCGACUUAUAUCGGAAACCCUAGUCUCCUGCAUGCAGAAUCAUCUCAUCCAAGGAAAUUGAUUGAAGGUAUCCCUACGGGUCAAUACUUACGGCUCAGGCGAAUAUGUUCCAAUGAUGACCUCUUUGAAAAGCGGGCACAAGAACUGACCAAGAGAUUUAGGGAGAGAGGUUAUAACGAAUCCUCUUUGAAGAAGGGCUACUUCAGAGCUAAACGAUCUAGAAGGGACAAACUUUUACAAAAGCGACCCAGAAGGACAUUGAACUCUCCGAAAAACACGGUACGUUUUAUCACCACAUAUAAUUCGGGUCAUGAUGCGGUAUUAGAAUCUUUGAAGAAACAUUGGAAUAUUCUGUAUAUGGAUUCCACUUUGAAACAACAUUUACAUCCAAAACCAUCCCUUACGUUUCGAAUAGACAAAACAAUAUCCGGGAUGUCUUAGUUCACAGCCACUAUAAAGGUACUAAUCCCCCCCAGACUGUUUGGCUCCUAGGGCCCUAAGUGGGGCUGCCGCCCAUGUGGCAACUGUGUUGCUUGUGUCAACAUUUUAACCACAACGUCUUUUUCAGAUUCUACUGGUCAUAAGACGUACCAAAUUACCCACACGAUCACAUGCAAUACCAUUGGGGUAGUCUAUGCUGCCAGUUGCCUGUGCGGACUUCAAUAUGUUGGUCUUACCUCACGCGAAUUGAAGCGUCGAACUAGGGAACAUGUUCUGGGGAUACAGUCAGCUCUGAAUGAAGAAGAUGAUACCUCGCUGAAGGCGAUUCCACGUCACUUUAAGGCCCACCAUGCAUGUGAUGGCUCCCUUUUGAAGUUAUUAGGUGUGGCUGCCCUAUUUGUGUCAUCGAUUUUUCAUCUGGAGGAAUUGUCAGGGAUGAACUUACAAAUGGAAGCAUCGAUGAGAGAGAGAUC